rnacentral:tRNA from 1 species
UGACCCAUGGUGUAAUUGGCAACACAGCUGGUUUUGGUCCAGCCAUUUUAGGUUCGAGUCCUAAUGGGUCAA